GCCUCCGCCGCCUCCUCCGGCCGGCUCGCCUCCCCCCGCCGCCGCGGCCUCCCCCUGCCGCUCGGCCACUGCUGCCUUGCUGCUCUUCUCCCCCGGCUCGCCUCCGCUGCCCCCCGCCGUGGGGGCUGUUGGGCAUGACCCUGACCGCGGCGCCAUCCGGCAACAGCCAUCAUCCUGCCUGGCCGACAGCCAGCGACGACGAGCAGGAGGAGCAGGAUGUAUACCUGGGUAAGCAGUACUCCUACAGCUGCUGCAAAUCGAACCCUAGCCCGGCAACGGAAGAGGAGGAUGAGGAGGAGCGGCUCCGGCUCGGAGGCUGGGAUCGUGCGUUCUGAUUUUGCAUGUCGUUUUGUUUUGUUAGCCCCAUUUCCUGCUGGUUCGAUGCAACUGGUUUGAAUUAGAUUCUGUUCUUGCGUAUGCUUCGUAAAUCAUAACAAUGGCUAGUUCAAGCAAAAGUUUCCAGUCUUCAAGCAAACUAGUCAGUGAUAAGAAGUAUCAGGGUGCAUUGGUUGCUUCUCCAGCUAAAACCAUUUCACCCAAGACAGUCAAGCAUAUUGUGCCAGCAAAACAUUUAAUCUUGAGUGGGGAGUCUACAAGUCAUUUGGCAUCCUUUUUUGUAAAGGUUGUUGCCCUGGAAGUAAUACGAAGAUUCGCAAAAGUAAGAUGUCCUUUUAUAUGGAAUUCUAUUCAAGCAUUGCAAGUUCGUGAUACCCUCCAUUUAGGUGGAUUCAACAGUGGGCGUGACUCAAAUUUAUUGUGCAAGGCAUUCAGAUAUUAGUGAGCUAAACCUACCCAAGAGCACAUCAAUUUCUUUUCCCAACGACAAGGAUGAUCUGAUGAAUUUUGAGAUUAUCGUCCGACCUGAUGAAGGAUAUUACCUAGGUGGCACUUUCGUCUUUACUUUUCAAGUAUCCCCUUAUCCUCAUGAGCCUCCAAAGGUCAAGUGCAAUACAAAGGUUUGACCUUUGGUUUGCAUAUCAGGCUUAACUUCAGUUUUUGCCCUUUGGAGCCUUGGAGGCUGCAUACAGGUGGGACCUUUGGUUUGCAUAUCAGGCUUAACUUCAGUUUUUACCCUUUGGAGCCUUGGAGGCCGCAUACAGGCAUCUCUUGAUUGUACCAGUCUUGGCCACUUGAAGGGCAGUUGCUUCUUUGACAGUACAAAAAGUGCUUUCAUUUGUCAAUGGGAUUUAAGGGAAAAGAAGGGCUUGCGAUAAGGAGAGAAGAAAAGAAAAGAAGACAGGGAAAAGAAAGAACAAACUUAUUUAAAUUUUCCACAUAUCCAUUAUAAAAAUUGAUCGUGUUUCUACUAUACUAUCCAUCCGUUCGCCCACCUUGCCCAAGUGGGCCGAUCGGGCCACGCCACCCAUGUUGCGUGCACUGUGUGGGUCUUCGGUCUGCCCGAGUGAUCUACCUUAAGUUGGUUGUCGCAUGUAAAAUAGUGGUAGUGCAUUCGCUUCGUAAGCGAAAGGUCACCGGUUCAAUCCUUGUCGAGAGCAUGUUUUUGUGUUUCUUUAUUUUCUUUUUAGUAGUUGCCCGUUGAAAACCAUCAUUUCAACAUGAUUCACACUCAAUUUUAGUAAAGAAAGCUUUGUAGCUCAAUGGUUAAGACAUUGGUCAUGGACUUACAUGUGCUACGUUUAAAUCAUAGAAAGUUAUAUUUAAUUUCUGUUUUUCACCUACCGGUACGAUC